CUUCUUCUGUCUCUUAGCUAGGGCAACAAAGGAGAAAGAUCUUUAGGAUGAAAGAACACUGAUUUUCAUAAAAAAUCAUUCUAGAGGGGUUUACUUUUCUCUGGAUUUCUAAUAUGUAUUUGUUCUUAGAUUCUGAUUUAUAGCGGAAUUAGGGUUUAAUUUCAUAGUUCAGUCCUAGUUUGUCUUCCCUUUCUAAAUUCUAAACACGCAGAGUAUGAAAUGAGUGUAGAUACGUAAGGUUAUUAUCACAAAUACGAAGAAACAUAUGGAAGGUGUUGGAAGAAGAUUCAGUGAUAAAUGGAAGUUGUUUGGGUUGCUGUUUUUAAAGACUCAGAAGACCAAAAAGAAGAAAAGGAAGAAGAAACAAAAUGGUAGUAAUUUUUGGUACGGGCGGAUUCGGAAAAGCUAUCAAUUUUUGAAAUCCUUUGCUACUAAUUUCAUGAAAUCGUGCAAGGAAGAAAAGAGUUGCCUGGUAGAUCCUAUCAAAGUGAUUGGCUGCAUCUAAGAAAGGAAGGACACAUUGUGUUGCCAGAAAAGCACAUGAAAGGCUACCUUGAGGAGGCUGGGAAACAUUUGUGCGAGACAAUGGCUUAAAAAAGUGUGAUUUCUUAGCUUUUAGGCAUGAUGGGGGAUACUGUUUCGUGGUAAAGAUUCAGAAGACUAAAAAAAAAAGCAAGAAGAAACAAAAUGGUUAUCUGUAUAAUCAGUAGGAGCGGACUCGGAAAAGUAAUAGGGGGGCUUAUAUAAAGUAGCCUAUUGAAAUGAUUGGGAUUCGUAAUGGAAGGUUUUUUUACUAGGGAUUCGACGAGCCAUUUUGAUUGCUGAUGCACAUUAGAGAUGUUGUUGGCAGUCUUAUUGUGACUAAUACAUAUCUGGUAGGCUGCAUCUAAGAAAGGAAGGGCUGCACAGAAGGCACAAGCCCUUGACCAUACUAGUGCCACACAUUGUCUUGCUAGCAAAGCAUAUAAAAGGGACCCUUGCAAAGCGAUUCUCCGUCUGUAUCUCAGUAACAAAAGCGACUUUAUGCUUAGUUAAGCUGGUUCUUUCUCAAAUAUUUGAGCACUUGUUUCUAUGUCUUCAUCUUUUGCUGUGUAACACCCGAAGUAUCUCUGUAUUGGUUCUUGCCAACUCCAUGGAAUUUGAACUGGUGUCAUAAUGUAGUUGCCAAUCAAUCACAGCUCCGAUUGUGGGAUGUUAUAGCGAAGUUCAUCCACAUUUUCAUUGGGAAAAUUCCCAUGCAUCGGCUUAAUAUCCUGAAAUUGGAUGCUUAUGAAGGGUGUUUGGGGCGGAGGUAUUCAAAAAGCAGUAUUCCGAGUGAUUUUUCUACUGGCCACUUGUUAGAUGGUAGAAAUAAAGCUCCAAGCAGGAUGUUAUUGGGUUCCGCCCUCUUUGAUGAUGAAGGAAAAGCUCUCCACGCAGUCCCAACAUUGCAGUGGUUAUAGAGGGCAACACUUUUCUCAAAAGAUUGUGAAAUUCCGGUUUGUGAAACAAUUGAACAAGACAGGCCGCGUAAUAUGGGUGUCUCGCUGUUGUACAAAAUCUAUCUAGUGGUAUAAUCUAUUGUGGCUUGUGUAACCCUUGUCAGUCAGUUUUUUUGUAUACAAUAUAUCCAUUUUUAUGAAUUUACAGUUGUUUUGAGUA